rnacentral:rRNA from 1 species
CUGAAACAGCAUCAGCAGCAUGCGCUAUACCCUCCAGGGAUGACAAUAUAACGAUACGCCUUAUGGUCUCGUUUGGAAGAGUAAUCUAAAAUUUACGAGACAUGGCAAGUCUGUGCCAGCAGCCGGUAAUCCAGCUCCCUGCGUAUAUAAAGUGCAGUUAAAAGCUCNUAGUUGAACUUGGGGGCGAGGUCCGUCUAUGNCGNGUACUCCUGAGCCUCUCUUUCCGGGUUUUUCAUUUAUGAAGAUCUUCUNUGAAUAAACAGUGUUCAAAGCACCUUCCGAAUGUUACAGCAUGGAAUAAUAGAAUNGGCGCNUGGUUCUAUUUUGUUGUUCUAGGACCAUCUAAUGAUUAAUGGGACGGUGGGCAUCAGUAUUCAAUUGCCAGAGGUGAAAUUCUGGACUUAUGAAGAUACUGCGAAGCAUUUCCAAGGACUUUCAUUAUCAAGAACGAAAGUUAGGGGAUCGAAGAUGAUCAGAUACCGUGUAGUCUNAACCAUAAACUAUGCCGACUCAAUGGGCUCGUGCUUUAUUAUUAGGCCGAGUCUGCGGGUUNCGAGAAAUCAAAGUCUUUGGGUUCUGGGGGGAGUAUNGUCGCAAGGCUGAAACUUAAAGGAAUUGACGGAAGGGCACCACCAGGAGUNGNGCCUGCGGCUUAAUUUGACUCAACACGGGGAAACUCACCAGGUCCAGACACAAUAAGGAUUGACAGAUUGAGAGCUCUUUCUUGAUUUUGUGGGUGGUGGUGCAUGGCCGUUCUUAGUUGGUGGAGUGAUUUGUCUGCUUAAUUGCGAUAACGAACGAGACCUUAACCUUUAAAUAGGGGGGUCUGCUUUUUGCAGGCUGCUCCUUCUUAGAGGACUACGA